AUGCAACUCAGCUCUGGAUGCCUCACUAUUGCCGUCUCUUGGUACGAUGAGAGGACACCCAGCUCCAAAUUUCUCGCUGCAACCAACCAUUGGUACAAUGAGAGGACACCCAGCUCUGAAUGCCUCACUGCAGUCGUCCAUUGGUACGAUGAACCAAGCUCCAAAUGCCUCACUGCAGCCAUCCGUUGGUACGAUGACAGGACACCCAACUCCGAAUGCCUCACUACAGCAUCCCAUUGGUAUGAUGAUAACACACCCAGCAUCAAAUGCCCCACUGCAGCCAUCCGUUGGUACAAUGACAGGUCAAAAUCAAGUCUUCUUCCAACAACAGAAGCCAACUUAAUCUGUCAUCGUUAUCAAAGACUCAUGUUUUUUUUCUACUUUACUAAAAACUUGUAA
rnacentral:rRNA from 1 species